rnacentral:misc_RNA from 1 species
GAUGAAGAACGCAGCGAAAUGCGAUAAGUAAUGUGAAUUGCAGAAUUCAGUGAACCAUCGAAUCUUUGAACGCACAUUGCACCCGGCAGUAAUCUGCCGGGCAUGCCUGUCCGAGCGUCAUUUCUGCCCUCGAGCGAGUCCAGCAUCUAGGUGCUGGGCCCGCCCGGCGUUGGGGCACUACGGGAAGCCCUGUGCUGUCCCCGUAGGCCCCGAAAUGAAGUGGCGGUCCUGCCGCGGCGCCCCCUGCGUAGUAUAACAGCUCGCUUCGGGACCCGGUGGAGGCCUGCCGUCAAACCUUACUCUCUAAGUUUGACCUCGGAUCAGGUAGGGUUACCCGCUGAACUUAAGCAUAUCAAUAAGCGGAGGA